GGGUGCGAUCAUACCAACACUAAUGCACCGGAUCCCAUCAGAACUUCACAUUUAAGCGUGCUUGGGGGAGAUUUUUUCCCCGCGGUCGACUACUUGAUUGACGUUUUUGCACUUC
rnacentral:rRNA from 1 species